rnacentral:pre_miRNA from 1 species
AAUAAGAUCAUUUUUUAGUUUUUUGAUAUAAUAUUUUGACUUUUCAUCUUAUUUGAAACUUUUUUGUGAAUAAUAUUUUUAUUCUUACUAGAUGAUAAAAAUAUGAAUGUUACUUUAUGUGUGACUAACUUUUUUAAGUUUUUGUACAAUUUUUUCAAAUAAGACGAAUGGUCAAACGUUAGACACGGAAAAAC